rnacentral:piRNA from 1 species
UGCUUGUGUUGUUGACAAAUGGACCAGCAC